AGAAGAAAAAGGUCUGAGCAAAAUAACAUAAACCUGUCCUUGAAUACCUGCUUGAAUGUAAUUCAGGGGUUUAUAUCAUCUCAUUUUUCUGAGCAAUACGUUUUUCUUCUGAAUUACUAGUUGGAAUGUUUACAUAAUUUUCUCUUUCCUCUAGCAUAUCUAUUGGAUUUUCAAGCAGUCUUUCUCCUUCAAACUAAGUGAAAAGUUAAAACCCUAAAAUUGUACGGGUCUCAUACUUCAUUUUCCUUGCAUUUGCACAUCUUAGGUGAAGCAAGUUUGGUGGGCUGCCUUCUUCAUUAUUCCAUUCUGAGAUGAGAAUGAGGCCUCUUAUUUUCCUGACUAGCUCACCCCUACAAGCUGAUAAUUGCUGGCUCUUAGGAAGAGCUGCAUGUUAUUGCUUAGGGUGAGAAGCAUUCAGCCUCUUGUGUUUUCCCCUUGAAGUAGCACAUGUUGCUGAAUUUUAAGUUGGUGUUGGCCUAGCUAAUCAGGGGCCUAUAGCUAUUGCAGUAAGGCUUCAGCCACUUAAAAUACUCUCAGAUCUUCCCAGGGACUGGGUUGGUGCUGGUAAAGACAGUACUGAUUGGUGCUGGCAAAGAUAUUAUCUAGCCCCACCACUUGUACCCUUCAUCACUAGAAGUCAUAACACAAAGAUCCAAAAUGAGGAAAUGGUGAAUUAGCUCCUGAAAAGUGCCAGCGGAAAACCAAAUUUGGUGAAAGGAUCUUCACAUUAGUUCACAUGUUGUUAACAUGGGCAUAUACAGAGGAUUUCAGCUUCUUGGCUGUUUCUGCUUGGAUUCAGCCUUCAGCACUGAGAAGUGUACUUCUUAGUGUGUCUCUGCUUGCUCAGAUUGCUUCCUCUAAAUUCUCCAUGGCUUGGCAAAGGGUCUAUGUGGCCCUGUAGCAACCCCAGUCAGGCAGACACACACCCUUACUGCCUUUGAGGCAGGCAGCAGCAGUGCUGUUAAGGACAGGCAGGCAAAUGCAGGAAAGUGGGGAAUAUCAAUGCUAAGGCAGGAGCUUCAGUAGAAAAUCUCUGGCCAGCUGCUAUGCAGGAGGACAAGCUGUUCUAUAAUAUUUCUUGCUCAGAUGUGAUGGAUGUUCAAAUGCUUUUACAUAUUUUUGAAGUCAGAAACAAUAUUUAGGAUAAUCUAUAAACUGGUGGACACAAAAUGCUCCAGGAACAACCGAAGGAAGCAACUGAUAUAUCUGCAUUAUCCAGCACAACACAGUUCAGGAGUCUCAUUAGUGUGGAGGGCCUACAGGAAUGGUGCCUCUGAUUAAAUGCCACCAGCUGUCAGUUAACCUAAGAUGAAGAUUAGCAGGCAGGCAGAGACAUCCCAGACAGGUCUGGAAGGAAUCCAUCUGGGCCUGUCAGUCCAGGCACAGCUCUGCCCAGCCCUAUAUGCACUCCCUGGCCAUAUGCACCCUACCCAGCCCUUUGCAGCCUUUCCAAGGCUGUCAGUGUGGCAGAGCAUGAUAGACUGGCUUUGUAGAAGAGCAGCUUGGCUCUGGAAGUAAAUAGCUGUUUGUAGUCGUGGUCUCUUCAGUUCUCCAUGCUUCUUCUUAGCAUGUUGCAGGCUCAUUGCCUUGUGCAGUGGAUGGGGGAGAGGUCUGUGCUGAGACAGCCCUUCCUGGGCAUGGGACAGGGGAGCUGGAGCAAGCACUGAGGGACAGGAAUGUGGUCUCUGGAGGGGUGCUCUGACAGACUUCCUGCGCAUGCCAAGGAGCUCCAGGGAGAAUUCAGCUGACAGGGAACCAAUUUCCUCCCUGCUCUUGCCACUGCAGAAGAAGAUGAGAGAGUGCUUAGGAGACAAGGCCAAGAUCAUUCCGGUUGCAUUACACGGAAUACAACAGACCUGAGCAAUACACUUGGAGCCCUCCUUCUCCUUCCAGGUGCCUUUACACCAGUGUAACUCUAAAGAACUUGGUGGAGCUGCAUCUUUAACAACCAGAGCAGACAGUCUGGACCCCUGGAGCAACAUAAUGGGGGAGCACUAAGGAGGCAGAAUUACUGGUGUCAGUGGAGAAGACAGAUAACCCUACUGAUGUUGUCGUCUUGCAAGGAGAGGGUGAAUUAAAAAAUAGCAUCUAUUCAAAUAUUUAGCACUUGCCCACAGUAGAAUUCAUGUUACCUAACUUCAGCAGACUGAAAGUUGGAAAUGGUAUUCAUCUGCCCAAAUUUAGAUUCCUACAGUGCAAACGUCAACAGCUGAGCAAGUCAUACUGACUCCUUUAUAGGCAAUGGAGAGAAGCAGGCACUUCUGAUGCGUAAGCACAUCUCAUCCUAAAAAAUAUGUCUAAAAGAGAUCCGGCGAGUCACAUGUAGAAAUGGCUUUUUUUCCAUCAGCUAUAAAGAGAAUCCAGACUGUUAUCAUUAUGAUACAGGCUUUUAAAGUUCAGCAAGAUUGAUCUCUCUCCUGGUAUCUAAUUUACACUGGUCAUUCUUGUUCCCUCGUCAUGUUGGCAGAGAGAAGCUGUCGCUUCCAGAGGUCCUGGUUAUCUUGGCCAUCUCCCUGAGCUACAGAAAAGCUGGUAUGAGCUGCCUUCCAGUGGUAUUUGCUGCUGGGGGGGGGAGUGGAAGCCUCUGGGAUUGCUGAGGAGUAUGAGCUGAGAGGAUUGACAUUAUUUCAGCCAUUCUUCAUUCCCAUGUCUAUUUAUGUGGGUUUAAAAUGUUGUCUCCAGAUGUAUGGAAGGCUUAUAAGGACAGUAUCAGACAGGACAAGAGGGCAAAGACAAGUGUACUCUGAAUCUGUUUUUUGUAUGUGUCAUUUAAGCCACUGCCUUCUCUGAAGUUUUCCCCUUCCUCUGUCAGUAGCUACCACUGUUGAUGUUGGUGAGGGAGAGUAUUUAUUCUAUUUUUUUCUUCAGAGGUGCUAUGUUUUGCACAAAACAACUGGAGACCAAAGCCAGUGUGCCUUCCUCUCCCAAAGUCAGAACAUUGCUUGAUCAAUCCCAAACACUACACUUGGGAGAAAAUGCAAAAAAAUAACCAAAAAACAUAAAACUGAGGAGGCAUAGGAAGGCACAACAAUGAAUAGGAUAUUAGAGAUAAUAAAACUGGAAAUGUU